GAUGAACGCUGGCGGCGUGCCUAAUACAUGCAAGUCGAGCGAACAGACGAGGAGCUUGCUCCUCUGACGUUAGCGGCGGACGGGUGAGUAACACGUGGAUAACCUACCUAUAAGACUGGGAUAACUUCGGGAAACCGGAGCUAAUACCGGAUAAUAUAUUGAACCGCAUGGUUCAAUAGUGAAAGACGGUUUUGCUGACACUUAUAGAUGGAUCCGCGCCGCAUUAGCUAGUUGGUAAGGUAACGGCUUACCAAGGCAACGAUGCGUAGCCGACCUGAGAGGGUGAUCGGCCACACUGGAACUGAGACACGGUCCAGACUCCUACGGGAGGCAGCAGUAGGGAAUCUUCCGCGAUGGGCGAAAGCCUGACGGAGCAACGCCGCGGGGGUGAUGAAGGACUUCGGAUCGUAAAACUCUGUUAUUAGGGAAGAACAAAUGUGUAAGUAACUAUGCACGUCUUGACGGUACCUACUCAGAAAGCCACGGCUAACUACGUG
rnacentral:rRNA from 1 species